rnacentral:rRNA from 1 species
UACAGAGGGUGCAAGCGUUAAUCGGAAUUACUGGGCGUAAAGCGUGCGUAGGCGGUAUUGCAAGUCGGAUGUGAAAUCCCUCGGCUCAACCAAGGAAGUGCAUCCGAAACUGCCGUACUUGAGUACUAAAGAGGAUCGCGGAAUUCCCGGUGUAGAGGUGAAAUUCGUAGAUAUCGGGAGGAACACCAGUAGCGAAGGCGGCUCGCUGGGCCAUACCUGACGCUGAGACGCGAAAAGCGUGGGAAGCAAACAGG